rnacentral:rRNA from 1 species
CCUACGGGUGGCAGCAGUGAGGAAUAUUGGUCAAUGGGCUUACGCCUGAACCAGCCAAGUCGCGUGAGGGAAGACUGCCCUAUGGGUUGUAAACCUCUUUUGUCAGGGAGCAACGCCGGCUACGUGUAGCCGGACUGAGAGUACUUGAAGAAAAAGCAUCGGCUAACUCGGUGCCAGCAGCCGAGGUAAUAGGGAGGAUGCGAGCGUUACCCGGUUUUAUGGGGUUUAAAGGGUGCGUAGGCGGAAUGCCAAGUCAGCGGUAAAAUCGCGGGGCUAAACCUCGCUCUGCCGUUGAAACUGGCGGUCGUGAGUAGGCGAGAAGUAUGCGGAAUGCGUGGUGUAGCGGUGAAAUGCAUAGAUAUCACGCAGAACUCCGAUUGCGAAGGCAGCAUACCGGCGCCCAACUGACGCUGAAGCACGAAAGCGUGGGUAUCGAACAGGAUUAGAUACCCGUGUAGUC